rnacentral:rRNA from 1 species
UACGUAGGUGGCAAGCGUUGUCCGGAUUUACUGGGCGUAAAGAGCGCGCAGGCGGUCGUUCAAGUCGAGUGUGAAAGCCCCCGGCUCAACUGGGGAGGGUCACUCGAUACUGAUCGACUCGAAGGCAGAAGAGGGAAGCGGAAUUCCCGGUGUAGUGGUGAAAUGCGUAGAUAUCGGGAGGAACACCAGUGGCGAAGGCGGCUUUCUGGGCUGCUCCUGACGCUGAGGCGCGAAAGCGAGGGGAGCAAACGGG